rnacentral:rRNA from 1 species
UGCCAGCCGCCGCGGUAAUACGGAGAGUGCAAGCGUUAAUCGGAAUUACUGGGCGUAAAGCGCGCGUAGGCGGCUUUUUAAGUCGGAUGUGAAAGCCCCGGGCUCAACCUGGGAACUGCAUCCGAUACUGGAAGGCUAGAGUGCGAGAGAGGGAGGUAGAAUUCCAUGUGUAGCGGUGAAAUGCGUAGAUAUAUGGAGGAUACCAGUGGCGAAGGCGGCCUCCUGGCUCGACACUGACGCUGAGGUGCCAAAGCGUGGGGAGCAAACAGGAUUAGAUA